CAGAGUUGUAAAACUCCCAAACCCAUGUGAACAUACCUCUGUUGCCUCGGUGGCCUACCCGGUAGCUACCCUGUAGUUACCCUGUAGUUCGCCGGCGGACUUUAGAAACUCUUGUUUUUAGUGUAUCUCUGAGAACAACUUCAAAUAAGUUA
rnacentral:misc_RNA from 1 species